rnacentral:rRNA from 1 species
AAAUUGAAGAGUUUGAUCAUGGCUCAGAUUGAACGCUGGCGGCAGGCCUAACACAUGCAAGUCGAACGGUAGCACAGAGAGCUUGCUCUCGGGUGACGAGUGGCGGACGGGUGAGUAAUGUCUGGGAAACUGCCUGAUGGAGGGGGAUAACUACUGGAAACGGUGGCUAAUACCGCAUAACGUCGCAAGACCAAAGAGGGGGACCUUCGGGCCUCUUGCCAUCAGAUGUGCCCAGAUGGGAUUAGCUGGUUGGUGAGGUAACGGCUCACCAAGGCGACGAUCCCUAGCUGGUCUGAGAGGAUGACCAGCCACACUGGAACUGAGACACGGUCCAGACUCCUACGGGAGGCAGCAGUGGGGAAUAUUGCACAAUGGGCGCAAGCCUGAUGCAGCC